rnacentral:tRNA from 1 species
GGGGAGGUCGCCUAGAGGCCUAUGGCGCCGCCUUGGAAAGGCGGUAGACCGCGCAAUCGGUCUCGAGGGUUCGAAUCCCUCUCUCCCCG